AUCUUACUUGGCAGCAUUCGA
rnacentral:miRNA from 16 species